CCCGGCGACCGGCGCACGGGUGAGUAACACGUAUGCAACCUGGCCGCCACAGGGGGAUAACCCGCGGAAACGCGGCCUAAUACCCCGUGACGCCACCGGAGGGCAUCCUCCGGUGGCCAAAGGAGCGAUCCGGUGGCGGAUGGGCAUGCGGCGCAUUAGCUAGACGGCGGAGUGACGGCCCACCGUGGCGACGAUGCGUAGGGGUUCUGAGAGGAAGGCCCCCCACACUGGGACUGAGACACGGCCCAGACUCCUACGGGAGGCAGCAG
rnacentral:rRNA from 1 species